rnacentral:rRNA from 1 species
UACGGAGGGUGCGAGCGUUAAUCGGAAUUACUGGGCGUAAAGCGCGCGUAGGCGGUUUGUUAAGUCAGCUGUGAAAGCCCCGGGCUCAACCUGGGAACUGCAGUUGAUACUGGCCGACUGGAGUGCGAGAGAGGGAGGUAGAAUUCCAUGUGUAGCGGUGAAAUGCGUAGAUAUAUGGAGGAACACCGAUGGCGAAGGCGGCCAUCUGGACGACGACUGACGCUGAGACGCGAAAGCGUGGGGAGCAAACAGG